rnacentral:rRNA from 1 species
CAGCACCUCAAGUGGUCAGGAUGAUUAUUGGGCCUAAAGCAUCCGUAGCCGGCGCUGUAAGUUUUCGGUUAAAUCUGUACGCUCAACGUACAGGCUGCCGGGAAUACUGCAGCGCUAGGGAGUGGGAGAGGUAGACGGUACUCGGUAGGAAGGGGUAAAUCCUUUGAUCUAUUGAUGACCACCUGUGGCGAAGGCGGUCUACCAGAACACGUCCGACGGUGAGGGAUGAAAGCUGGGGGAGCAAACCGGAUUAGAGACCCCAGUAGUCC